rnacentral:tRNA from 1 species
GUAAAUAUAGUUUACUAAAACGUUAGACUGUGAAUCUAAAAACAGAAGUUCAAACCUUCUUUUUUACC